UCAAGUAAUUAAGUGCAUGUGGUGGAUGCCUUGGCAGUCAGAGGCGAUGAAAGACGUGAUAGCCUGCGAAAAGCUCCGGGGAGGCGGCAAAUAUCCUUUGAUCCGGAGAUGUCUGAAUGGGGGAACCCACCUACUUUAAGGUAGGUAUUGCAACAUGAAUACAUAGUGUUGCAAGGCGAACGAGGGGAAGUGAAACAUCUCAGUACCCUUAGGAAAAGAAAUCAAUUGAGAUUCCCUCAGUAGCGGCGAGCGAACGGGGAUCAGCCCAUUAAGUUAUGUGUGUUUUAGUGGAACGCUCUGGGAAGUGCGAACGUAGAGGGUGAUAUUCCCGUACACGAAAGGGCACACAUAAUGAUGACGAGUAGGGCGAGGCACGUGAAACCUUGUCUGAAUAUGGGGGGACCAUCCUCCAAGGCUAAAUACUCCUGACUGACCGAUAGUGAACCAGUACCGUGAGGGAAAGGCGAAAAGAACCCCUGUGAGGGGAGUGAAAUAGAUCCUGAAACCGCAUGCAUACAAGCAGUGGGAGCACCUUCGUGGUGUGACUGCGUACCUUUUGUAUAAUGGGUCAGCGACUUAUAUUCAGUAGCGAGGUUAACCGUAUAGGGGAGCCGUAGAGAAAUCGAGUCUUAAUAGGGCGUUUAGUUGCUGGGUAUAGACCCGAAACCAGGCGAUCUAUCCAUGAGCAGGUUGAAGGUUGGGUAACACUAACUGGAGGACCGAACCCACUGUCGUUGAAAAGCCAGGGGAUGACUUGUGGAUAGGGGUGAAAGGCUAAUCAAGCCUGGUGAUAGCUGGUUCUCCCCGAAAGCUAUUUAGGUAGCGCCUCGGACGAAUACCAUAGGGGGUAGAGCACUGUUUCGGCUAGGGGGUCAUCCCGACUUACCAAACCGAUGCAAACUCCGAAUACCUAUGAGUACUAUCCGGGAGACAGACUGCGGGUGCUAACGUCCGUAGUCAAGAGGAAAACAAUCCAGACCGCCAGCUAAGGCCCCAAAAUCAUAGUUAAGUGGGAAACGAUGUGGGAAGGCAUAGACAGCUAGGAGGUUGGCUUAGAAGCAGCCACCCUUUAAAGAAAGCGUAAUAGCUCACUAGUCGAGUCGGCCUGCGCGGAAGAUGUAACGGGGCUAAAACUAUGUGCCGAAGCUGCGGAUNNNNNNAUGCUGGAGGUAUCAGAAGUGCGAAUGCUGACGUGAGUAACGACAAAACGGGUGAAAAACCCGUUCGCCGAAAGACCAAGGGUUCCAGUCCAACGUUAAUCGGGGCUGGGUGAGUCGACCCCUAAGGCGAGGCCGAAAGGCGUAGUCGAUGGGAAAAUGGUUAAUAUUCCAUUACUUCUGUGUAAUGCGAUGAGAGGACGGAGAAGGCUAAAUCAGCCUGGCGUUGGUUGUCCAGGUGAAAGGAUGUAGGCAUGUAUCUUAGGCAAAUCCGGGGUACUCUAUGCUGAGAUCUGAUAGCAAGCUGUACUUGUACAGCGAAGUGGUUGAUGCCAUGCUUCCAGGAAAAGUCUCUAAGCUUCAGUUACACAGGAAUCGUACCCGAAACCGACACAGGUGGUCAGGUCGAGUAGACCAAGGCGCUUGAGAGAACUCUGCUGAAGGAACUAGGCAAAAUGGUACCGUAACUUCGGGAGAAGGUACGCUGUUGUUGGUGAUGGAACUCGCUUCCUGAGCUGACGACAGCCGCAGAAACCAGGCCGCUGCAACUGUUUAUUAAAAACAUAGCACUCUGCAAACACGAAAGUGGACGUAUAGGGUGUGAUGCCUGCCCGGUGCUGGAAGGUUAAUUGAUGGGGUUAGCGUAAGCGAAGCUCUUGAUCGAAGCCCCAGUAAACGGCGGCCGUAACUAUAACGGUCCUAAGGUAGCGAAAUUCCUUGUCGGGUAAGUUCCGACCUGCACGAAUGGCAUAAUGAUGGCGGCGCUGUCUCCAGCAGAGGCUCAGUGAAAUCGAAAUCGCUGUGAAGAUGCAGUGUACCCGCGGCUAGACGGAAAGACCCCGUGAACCUUUACUGCAGCUUGACACUGAACUUUGACCUUACUUGUGUAGGAUAGGUGGGAGGCUUUGAAGCUGGAACGCUAGUUCCAGUGGAGCCGUCCUUGAAAUACCACCCUGGUAAUGUUGAGGUUCUAACUCUGUCCCGUGAUCCGGGACGAGGACCGUGUCUGGUGGGUAGUUUGACUGGGGCGGUCUCCUCCUAAAGAGUAACGGAGGAGUACGAAGGUGCGCUCAGCGUGGUCGGAAAUCACGCGUAGAGUAUAAAGGCAAAAGCGCGCUUAACUGCGAGACCCACAAGUCGAGCAGGUACGAAAGUAGGUCUUAGUGAUCCGGUGGUUCUGUAUGGAAGGGCCAUCGCUCAACGGAUAAAAGGUACUCUGGGGAUAACAGGCUGAUACCGCCCAAGAGUUCAUAUCGACGGCGGUGUUUGGCACCUCGAUGUCGGCUCAUCUCAUCCUGGGGCUGAAGCAGGUCCCAAGGGUAUGGCUGUUCGCCAUUUAAAGAGGUACGCGAGCUGGGUUUAGAACGUCGUGAGACAGUUCGGUCCCUAUCUACCGUGGGCGCUGGAAAUUUGAGAGGAUCUGCUCCUAGUACGAGAGGACCAGAGUGGACGAACCUCUGGUGUACCGGUUGUGACGCCAGUCGCAUCGCCGGGUAGCUAUGUUCGGAAGGGAUAACCGCUGAAAGCAUCUAAGCGGGAAGCCUACCUCAAGAUAAGAUUUCCCUAGGACUUUAUGUCCUCUAAAGAGCCGUUCGAGACUAGGACGUUGAUAGGUUGGAUGUGGAAGCAUAGUGAUAUGUGAAGCUGACCAAUACUAAUUGCUCGUGAGGCUUGACUAU
rnacentral:rRNA from 1 species